AGGUCAUGGUGUGGGCAGAUUCUUAGCAAGCUCUUGUACCUCUCCCAUGCUUCAUAUAGGGAUUGUCCAACUUGUUGUUCAAAGUUAGCAAUGGCCUUCUUCAACUU